GAAAAAUUGUAUGUUGAUGGGUUUUUUGCUUUGUUUUCUUUUGUUAUUUUAAUACUUUGAGGAUGUUGCUGUACCAUCUUCUCACUUGCAGUUCCAGAUGAGAAAUGUGCUAGAAUCCUCACUUUGUUCCUCUGUACAAUAAGGUGUCUUUCUUCCUUUGGCUGCUUUAAGAGUUUCUCUUUUUUAUUUUUUAUUUAUUUAUUUAUUUUGAGACAUAGUCUCCCUCUCUCCCUCUGUUGCCCAGGCUUGAGUGCAGUGGUGUGAUCUUGGCUCACUGCAACCUCUGCCUCCCAGGCUCAAGCGAUUCUUGUGCCUCAGCCUCCCAAGUAGCUGGGAUUACGGGUGUGCGCCAUCAUGCCUGGCUAUUUUUUAAUUUGUAGUAGAGAUGGGGUUUUGCCAUGUUGGCCAGGCUGCUCUCAAGCUCCUGACCUCAAAUGAUCCGCUCACCUUGGCCUCCCAAAGUGCUGGAAUUACAGGCGUGAGCCACGGCGCCCGGCCCAAGAAUUUCUCUUUACCAUUGGUUUGAAGCAAUUUGAUUGUAAUAUGCCUUGGUUUUCUUCACCUGUUUAUUUUUUAUGUUUUAAAUUUUGGAGACAGGGUCUUGUUCUGUCACCUAGGCUGGUGCAAAGCUCACUGCAGCCUCGAACUCCCAGGCACAAGUGAUCUUCCUGCCUCAGUCUCCCAAGUAGCUAGGACUACAGGUGGACGCCACCAUGUCUGGCUAAUUUUUUUUAUUUUUUUGUAGAAAUGAGUUCUCGCUUUGUUGCCCAGGCUAAUCUUGAAUUCCUGGCCUCAAGUGAUCCUUCCACCUCAGCCUCCCGAACUGCUGGGAUUACAGGCAUGAGCCACCAUGCCCAGCCUUCUUCACAUUUCUUGUACUUGGGGGUUAAUUGAGUGUUUUGAAUUUAUAGUGUGAGUUUAUAUUUUUCAUCAGCUUUGAAAAAAUUGAGGGUAUUAUUUCUUCAAUUAUUUUUUCUGCUCUCUCCUCCUUUGGAGACUUCAAUUACACAUAUAGUAGACCACAUGAAAUUGUUCCACAGUUCACUGAAUCUCUGUUAAUCGUUUUUUUAUUCUAUUUUUUCUUCUGUGUUUCAUUUUGGAUAGUUGCUGUUGCCAUGUCUUCAAGUUCACUAAACUUUUCUUCUGCAGCAUAAAUCCUGUCCCAACUACUUUUCAUCUCAGACAUGGUAGUUUUCAUCUCUUAAUUCAUGUGUGUGUGUGUGUGUGUGUGUGUAAUAUCUACCAUAUAUCUACUUAACAUGUUUAAUCUUUAUCUUCUGGUACACACGAAAUACAAUUAUAAUUACUAUAUUUAUGUCCUUGGCUAGCAACUACAUCAUCUGUGUUAUUUUGGGGCCAGUUUCUAUUGAUUAAUUUUUUUCUCAUCAUGGGUCAUAGUUUUCUGCUGUUUUGCACGCCUGGUAAUUCUGAGAUACCAGCAUUAUCAAUUUUACAUUUUUAAGUGUUGGACACUUUUGUAUUCCUACUUCUAUUCAUAUUCUUGAGUUUUAUCCUGAAGUUCAGUUAAGGUACUUGGGUCCAGUUUGCUUCUUUCAGAUUUUACUUUCAAGUUUUGACAGGAGGGCCCAGAAUAGCAUUUAGUCUAGGGUUAACUUUUUCCCCAUUACUGAGGUAGAAUCUGUGACCACUGAACUGUGAACCCUUCCCUGCUCAGGCUGAUUUCCAGCGUUGCUCCCUGUAAUCCUUUCAGGGGCUUCUUUCUUCAGCCGUGGGUAGUUUUCUCUUAUGCAUGUGCUGAUCCGUCCAUAGCUGAAGACUUACAGGGACUUCCUUGAAGAUCUCCAGAACUCUUUCUCUUUGCAGCUCUUUCUUCUUUGAUACUAUGUCUUGCAAACUCUAGCCACCUCUGUCUCUCAGACUUCCAACUGAAGUCUUCUUAACCAGGGGAGACUAGCAGGCUCCAGCUGGGUUCCCCUGCCUGCACUCAUGCCUGGAAACUGUCUUCUGGCUGUACACUUUGGCAAUGGUAGGCUUCCCUUUAUUCAUUUCCCAGCUCUCAUGGAUCACUACACUUUGUUAGCUGAUUUCCAAUGUUUUGAAAAUAGUUGUUUUGUAUAUUUGGUGCAGAUUUUAAGUUAUAUUGAUGGAGAGUCUCUGACCCAUUAUCCCAUCUCGCCUGGCAGCCGAAGUCUUCAGAGGUAAUCAAGUACCAAAGAUUUAGUCUAAUGUUGAAUGUGGAUGAAAAAGGAAGUACCAUAUUUUUAUUUUAAUGCAGUCAUUCUUAAAUGUUUUUAUGCUGCAGAUCCUCUGGCCAUCUUGUGAAACCUAUGGAUUACUUUUGAGAAUGUUUGGAAAUGCACAAGGUAAAAUACAGAGGACUACAGUGGAAAUCAUUAUAGUGGAUGUAGUUAUUAGAAUAUUUUUCUAAGUGAAUUUGUGCCAUAGUAAUAGAUGUGUUUCUUAAUUAAUGCAUUGAAUAACAAGACCUAAUAGUGGGUCUAAUGAGUUCUGUAAUUUUCAAGCAGUAAUAAGCAUAAGCAUUAUUUUGAGAUAUUUACAACAAGGUAAUGUAAUUUAAAUAUAUCACUACUUCCCAUUGCUGACAACGUCAGGGUACUAUUGAUGUUACUGUGGUUUGUUGCCAACAUACAUUACAGAAGGCAAUGCUAAAUUUCAGUCAUAGGUUAAUAAAAAUAAACAUCCAAUUGCUCUUUCACCCAAGAUCAAAGACCCCUGAAUUCUGUCCACAGACCCCUGAGAAGUCCGUGGGUCCAGGAUAAGAACCCCUAUUAAUGAAUGGAAACUGGAGUGCCUGGGAGUUGUGAGUCUUACACAAUUGGCUAAGCUUGUGAACUGACAAUGAUUUUGUCUGAAUCUACCUUGGGAAUGUGAGAUGCCAUGAGGAUAAUUUUGGCGUGGGUUGGGGGGAUAGCAUUUACAAGACAACUGGGAGUGUCCUUCAUGCCAAGAUGGGUCUCCCUACUGUGGUUCCCCACCAAGCAAGUUUGCCCCCACUGCUGAGGAGUCCACCUGUCAAAUGGCUUCUUGCCCAACUCCCAGCCUGAAGCUCAAGAUUCAUCACUCAAAACUGACAAAUUGGGCAGGUCUGAUGUUUAUUUUUGCCUCUGGUCCUUUGGCCAGGCCACACACUCUUGGAUUUCUGAAUAUGCAGUUCUGUUCCUAACCAGUGUGUCCCAACCAGAAAGUCACUGUAAUUUUUGGUUUUGUUCCCAAUCUCCCUCCAAAUGUCAUUAGUCAUAUCCUCCUUCCCAUUUCUGCCUUGAAUAGGCAGUCAUUAUGAUGAAGCCAGGCUUGUUUCAGAAUUCCAUGAGAACCACAGUGUCAGGCUGUGACAACUCUGGGGCUGGAAAUGGAAAAGGCUGUGAUCUGGGGUUGGCUGGCACCGUCCCCGUGAGUCAUUAUGGAAACACUGUCCCCGGAUUCUGCUGAGAGGACUGGGUUGCUGGUGAGUCCAUCUGUCAGAUGAGAUCCUGACCCCCUGACACCUUAAAACGUUCCAUAAUAUGUGGGAUGUUGGGCCUUCUGUCUGGUAUCCUGGCUACAUUAAAAUUUGGGUUGUUUUAUUCUAUUUUUGGUUCCCUUGCAGUUUCCAAUGUGUUAAAAAACAAAAUACAAUUUUUUUCAGAUUACAAAAAUAAUACAUAUUCAUUGUACAGAAAUUGAAAAAGGCAGAAAAACAUACAGAAGGAAAUUCUACCACCCAGAGAUAAGGAUUUUUUAAAAUGUUGCAUUUGCUUUCAGAUGCUAUUUAGAUUAUAGUUUAUAAAAUACUUUUGUAAGCUGUGUGCUUUUUAAAACUCUAACAGUAUAGCUCACACAGUCUGCCUUAUAAAAAGCACAAAUUCUAUCAUUUUUUUCUCUGGAGGAGGCCUUAUAUAAGACCAUCUAGUCUAACACACUCUUUGUAAAAAUGAGGCAACUGUGAUCCCAAGAGGGUAAGUAACUUGCUCAGGGCUCCCCAGCGUAUGAGCCACAGAGUCAGGAAUGGGAGUAUGGAUCUUGUCUCAGCAUCCUGCUGCCUCGUGACCUGCCCAUGUGCUGUCAGUGUACAUCUUCAGACAAGAGCUGAAAGCACUCCGGCCUCUCUGCCUCUUGACCCGGAGGAAAUGUAGAUGAGUUCCCAGGCUUACUGAAUAGGACAUUUGCCCCUGCUUUAGACCUUGAGUUAGGGAACUAUUUAACAUCUUUGAAAUUUUCAUUCCCUAGGGGAAAGCUUAAAAUUUGAGGAAAAACAAAAGGCUCUUUCCCAUGCAAAAAUUAUUUUUGGUUAUCAUUUGGAAAAGAAAAAUAGGCAUUACUAACAACUUAAUGACUUCACUAAUAUACCUGCCUUUAAACUUAAGAAUAGUUAUUUAAUAAAGUUUAUAAACUCUACUAAAGUACGUACACAAUAGUAUGUAUAUUUUAUAAUAUGUGUAUUUCCAGGAAAUGUGAAUUCACCCCAGAAAGUAAGGAGGCUGCCUGUAUGGUAUGGGAUGGGAUGGGAUGGGAUGGGAUGGGAUGGGAUGGUAUUAGUAUGGGAUGGUAUGGUAUGGGAUGGGAUGGGAUGGGAUAGUAUUAGUAUGGGAUGGGAUGGUAUGGUAUGGGAUGGGAUGGCAUUAGUAUGGGAUGGUAUGGUAUGGUAUGGGAUGGCCUAGUAACCGUAUGGUAUGGCCUGGCAUAGUAUGGCAUGGCAUGUUAAGGUAAUGGCAUGCUAUGGUAUGAUAAUGGUAUGGUGUGGUGUGGUAUGGCAUGGGAUGGUAUGGGAUGGUAAUGGUAUGGUAUGGUAUAGUGUAUAGUAUAGUCUGGUGUAUAGUGUAGUGUUGUUAUAUUGAUAGUAUAGCAUAGUAUAAUAUAGUAAAAUGACUGUAAUUCAGAUUUAGGUGGUCUUGGAUUUAAAUCCUAUCUCAGCACCUACCUGGUUGUGUAAUCUUGGAAACUGAGCCUCUUUGAGCUUUAUUUCAUUAUCUGUAAAAUGAAAAUAGUAAUAGCAGUUAUCCCAAGAUAUAGAUACAAUAAAUAAAACAAUGCAUUCCCAUUUCCUUUUUAGAAGAAAGUAAAGAAAAGCUGUGAUGAGAGGAGCAGGGAUAAGGCCUCCCCCUAAGUAUGGGUGCCAAUUCCAAAAGAAGGAACUGCUGAGAGCCACACUGCCACCCCAACUGAAUACACAAGGACAUGAACAACAGGAUGUGUUAACUUCAAGGACAAAUAAUAGGGUCAGACUUCAAGUAGAACAUGGUUGAGUAAAUCAACAUCUUUCACCUUGUCCUCCAGAGAAUCCUACAAAAGCAGCAAGGAGAAUGAAAAACACCCUACAUACUCCACUUUCAGUGAAAUCAAGAUAGCUAGAUAUUAUAUGCAGACUCUAAAAUUUGUGCAAGGAAUGUCAAGGCGGCUGAUAUUAAGCAAAAGCUAUAAGAAGAAUAUAAAGAAAAAGGUUCAGAGAGCAGCUAGAUGGCCCAGGGUGGGGGUGGGGGUAGCAGAGUUGAAAGUGCCAAUAAAAAUAGGUAAGAGGCUCUACUCGACGUGUACAUAUGUGUCUCCUGUUUUCAGUUAAAAAAAAGCAAGAAGUAUAGUAAGCAAAGCUGGGCAGCAGAAACACUCUUGGAUGGGUCAUAUGAUACAAAAAAGCAAAAAAGGUGGAGCUGCUCAAAGAAUCACAAAGAUGCGCCUUAUCUGCAAGAAACAGUCUGUCUCUGUGGCAGAGCAGAGAAGAAGAAAUUCUGUGAGUUGUAAAAUUUAGAAGGUUAUAUUGUCUCCAGUCCACCUCUCCAUACCACUCCCCUGCCGGAAACCUUUUGAUCCGGGGAAACCCAAGUCAUUCAAGAUGAAUAAUUUUUAAAAUGAACUACCCAAACACAAAUUUAAAGAUACCUGCUUUUAUAUCUUGCUGAAAAAAUCAGCAAGAUUUGCCAAGAAAUAAAGAA
rnacentral:lncRNA from 1 species